UCCUGGUUGGCUCAGUUGGUAGAGCGCUCCCCUGGAAAAGGAGUGGUCCCUGGUUCGAUACUAGGACAAGGCA
rnacentral:tRNA from 1 species